CCUACGGGGGGCAGCAGUAGGGGAUUUUCGUCAAUGGGCGCAAGCCUGAACGAGCGACGCCGCGUGAGUGAAGAAGGCCCUCGGGGCGUAAAGCUCUGUUGCGGGGGAAAAAAGGCAGCAUCAGGAAAUGGGUGCUGACUGCUGGUUCCCCGCCAGCAAGUCACGGCUAACUACGUGCCAGCAGCCGCGGUAAUACGUAGGUGGCGAGCGUGAUCCGGAAAGAUUGGGCGUAAAGGGUGCGCAGGCGGGCCUGCAAGUCUGGAGUGAACCGCAUGGGCUCAACCCAUGCAUGGCUUUGGGAACUGGAUGACUGGAGAGCAGGAGAGGGCGGUGGAACUCCAUGUGUAGCGGUAAAAUGCGUAGAUAUAUGGAAGAACACCAGUGGCGAAGGCGGCCGCCUGGCCUGUUGCUGACGCUGAGGCACGAAAGCGUGGGGAGCAAAUACGAUUAGAUACCCCAGUAGUC
rnacentral:rRNA from 1 species